rnacentral:lncRNA from 1 species
ACUCUGAACAAGGAACAAAACAUGCAUGCUCCAAGGAGUUUUGACUGUUCCAAAGGCAGCUUUUAUGAGCUCCCAAGUUUCCCAAGGAUAGUGUAAGGCCAGCAGAGUCUUCAUCU